GUUUGGAUCUCAUCUUUUACAGCUGUUUUCCCUUUUGUUUUAUAAACUUUAAAAUUUCCUGGUUCUCAUCAUUCCUCUGACCUCAGCAAUAUUGGAUGGUGACACCCAGAGCUUCUUGGUUUUCUUGCUCUUUAUCCAUGAAAACAAAAGAGAACAAACAAAAUACCUGUGUCAUGGAGGAGGGAGAUGUAAAGACAAAUCUUUCAUGCAAUCCAGUAUAAACACUGAAGCAUUUCAUCUGUAUUUGGAUAGCUACCAUAAACACAGCUUGAUCAGCUCAAUAUUCAGCGUAAAUUUAACAGAAACCAGAGGUUCUCUUGCUGUAUGUUUCCUGAAAAGAACAGUUCAUGCCAAGUUUCUGUGGCAAAGGUCAGUACUUAAUAGAUAUUGUGGUAUACUUAAUAACCCUAUGAAAUCCUGGAUGUUAAACCACAACUUGGAAUCAUAGCUCUAUUUUUCAGAUGUGUUCUUUUGCACAUAGCUUAAGGUGUAGAAACAGAUUUCCUGAACAUUUCCAAUUCUUUUCUUUAAAUUGUCUUUAAUAUAAAAGAAAAUUAUGCUUUUGAGUUAUUUCCACCAGUGCUGCUCUUGUUUCUUUCAUUUACACACUCUUUCAAGGUAAAAUUAGAAGAUCAGUAAUUGCAAAGAAGUACUUUAUUGAAUAACAAAACACAGCUGUUGAAACGAGAAAGUACACAAUUGUUAGUGCUAUGCAAAAGUAUGCGGGAAUAAAGAUAAUGGCAGCCUGGGUUAAGACACUGCAAAGCCUUCCCUUUCCUUCCCUUCUCUUCCCUUUGCUUCCAUUCCCUUUGUUUCCCUGUUUCUCACUGUAUAAGGGAUCAUCUCUUUAGACAGAACUCUGGUAUUUAUUUUCAUUAAGAUUUUCAUGUUAUCCAAAUCUUUUUC
rnacentral:lncRNA from 1 species